rnacentral:rRNA from 1 species
GAAACGACUGCUAAGACUGGAUAGGAGACAAGAAGGCAUCUUCUUGUUUUUAAAAGACCUAGCAAUAGGUAUGCUUAGGGAGGAGCUUGCGUCACAUUAGUUAGUUGGUGGGGUAAAGGCCUACCAAGACUAUGAUGUGUAGCCGGGCUGAGAGGUUGAACGGCCACAUUGGGACUGAGACACGGCCCAAACUCCUACGGGAGGCAGCAGUAGGGAAUUUUCGGCAAUGGAGGAAACUCUGACCGAGCAACGCCGCGUGAACGAUGAAGUAUUUCGGUACGUAAAGUUCUUUUAUUAGGGAAGAAUAAAUGAUGGAAAAAUCACUCUGACGGUACCUAAUGAAUAAGCCCCGGCUAACUAUGUGCCAGCAGCCGCGGUAAUACAUAGGGGGCAAGCGUUAUCCGGAAUUAUUGGGCGUAAAGGGUGCGUAGGCGGUUAAAUAAGUUUAUGGUCUAAGUGCAAUGCUCAACAUUGUGAUGCUAUAAAAACUGUUUAGCUAGAGUAAGAUAGAGGCAAGUGGAAUUCCAUGUGUAGUGGUAAAAUGCGUAAAUAUAUGGAGGAACACCAGUAGCGAAGGCGGCUUGCUGGGUCUUUACUGACGCUGAGGCACAAAAGCGUGGGGAGCAAACAGGAUUAGAUACCCUGGUAGUCCACGCCGUAAACGAUGAGUACUAAACGUUGGGUAAAACCAGUGUCGAAGUUAACACAUUAAGUACUCCGCCUGAGUAGUACGUACGCAAGUAUGAAACUUAAAGGAAUUGACGGGACUCCGCACAAGCGGUGGAUCAUGUUGUUUAAUUCGAAGGUACCCGAAAAACCUCACCAGGUCUUGACAUGCUUCUGCAAAGCUGUAGAAACACAGUGGAGGUUAUCAGUUGCACAGGUGGUGCAUGGUUGUCGUCAGCUCGUGUCGUGAGAUGUUGGGUUAAGUCCCGCAACGAGCGCAACCCUUAUUGUUAGUUACCAGCACGUAAUGGUGGGGACUUUAGCAAGACUGCCAGUGAUAAAUUGGAGGAAGGUGGGGACGACGUCAAAUCAUCAUGCCCCUUAUGACCUGGGCUACAAACGUGAUACAAUGGCUGUUACAAAGGGUAGCUGAAGCGCAAGUUUUUGGCGAAUCUCAAAAAAACAGUCUCAGUUCGGAUUGAAGUCUGCAACUCGACUCCAUGAAGUUGGAAUCGCUAGUAAUCGCGAAUCAGCACGUCGCGGUGAAUACGUUCCCGGGGUUUGUACACACCGCCCGUCA